rnacentral:rRNA from 1 species
CAGUAGCCACGGUAAUACGGAGGGUGCAAGCGUUAAUCGGAAUUACUGGGCGUAAAGCGUGCGUAGGCGGUUCGUUAAGUCUGUUGUGAAAGCCCCGGGCUCAACCUGGGAAUGGCAAUGGAUACUGGCGAGCUAGAGUGUGUCAGAGGAUGGUGGAAUUCCCGGUGUAGCGGUGAAAUGCGUAGAGAUCGGGAGGAACACCGAUGGCGAAGGCAGCCCCCUGGGCCAAUACUGACGCUCAUGCACGAAAGCGUGGGGAGCAAACAGGAUUAGAUACCCCAGUAGUCCCUGUCUCUUAUAC